UACUUUCAAAAUGGCUGCUGACAGUCCGACGGCCUCGGCCUGCCUCGGCGUAAUAAUAAUCACCUAAGUCAACUCAACUUACUCAACUUACUCAACUUAGUUUCCCUGACAUUAUUCGUCUAAAAAUGAUAACAUAGUCUACAAUUUACACUUGGCAAUUCCAUCUGAUCAUGUAGCCUGAAACUGCUGUUUCCCAAAAUGUCGUCUCUUGCUGCACGUACCGGCUGUGCGUUUCGUCACAUUUCGAAAUACUUCACGAAAGUAAAACACGGUGAAGUCUGAGCUUCUUCAUUGCAGUCCAAUGCAAUGUACAGUGUGAUUUGUUGCAGCCAGCUGGCAAAAGGUUUUCCUCUUGCAGGCUUGCUACCUGUAGCGUUUGUAGCUUUUGUCACACGCAGAAACACUUCUGAACCAUUUAAAGAUUAACAGCCUCUUGAGGUCUGAGCCUCUUUGUUGCACUCCAAUGUUCACAUGAAUUUAGUGCAGCCAGCUAGUAGUGAACGGUGUGGUGAGCUGUUGCAUUGCAGACUGGUGUUGGUGUCGUUCGUUCAUUUGACUAUGGACCGUUUAGUCGUUCGUUUAUCGUAAGAAAUCUGUCACUUGUCGUAGAUUUCCAUGGUCAGUUUUAUGUUUGAGCUGUUGAUUGCUGUUUGGGGUACAGUGGUUUUUCAGUCAUUUUCCAUUUGAGAGAUGCGCUGAAAUGGAGCUUGUGCGGACUUGCAGUUGAACAACAUACUUCAAUGUGUCAUUUGUCUAUGUUGGUGUCCAUGCAGUGGUGAACUGUUGUGCAAAAUAGUCGAUGUUGCCUGAUGCUUGUUGGGCUUAUUUUAUCGGCAGCAUUUUGUCGAUAUGUCGUCUCUUGCCACCUGUACCGCCAUUGAGUUGAUUGUUUGCCGCCGUUCCUUAGACCUGAUCCACUGGUGAAACUAAGAAGACGUUGCUGAAAUUCAAGAUUGAUCAAUUAAUAAUGUUUAGAAAUUACAAGUGCAUAUCUGGGCUCCGGCUCCCUUCUCAGUGGCCCCGUUUCCCUAAUUAACCACUAACCAACGCCCACCGGUGGUCACUCACUCGCUGUGACAACCAGGAGGAAGGGAAUGGACUGGUCGAACGGGGACUUGCAAGGCGCAUGAUUCGAUGAAAUCUGUUGGAGGGUCAUGAGUCUAAGCCGGAAGCCUACUAAGAUUAAUCGCUCUCGUAAUAACUGUUCCUCGGCUCUCUUCGCUCUUUUUCCGGUUUCUCUUAACCAUGGCCGGGUAAUCUCCUGGUCGAGUCAGUGCGGGCAAUAAGAAUUUUAAGCUGGAACAACGCCUCCUUUGAGCGGUCCGGACAAUCCUGAAUCCUUUAGGGUUGCCAUUCCAUCGAGGCUGAAACGAGGAUGACGCGGAGGUGUUGCCCAUUGAGGGGUUUUUGUGACAAGGAGUCACUGAACGAAACGCUAAACCAAAUGAAAAAAGAUUGUCUUCUCCGACCGCAGGUGCAAGGAAUAUGUUUGAAACUUAGAAAAGUUUGCAGUAGAAAAUAAAAAAAAAAGCCAACUGUCCUUCAAACGGUUCGAAAUGGAAGAUUUAUUCAUUUGACACCGAAGAAACGAGUCAAAAGUCAAAUGUGGUAUUUUUAAACAACGUCAACCUGCUGAAAGAAAAAGGCCAGUUUCUAUGACCUUGACGCUCGAAG